rnacentral:rRNA from 1 species
AAGGAAUAUUGGUCAAUGGACGCAAGUCUGAACCAGCCAUGCCGCGUGAAGGAUGAAGGUCCUCUGGAUUGUAAACUUCUUUUAUCUGGGACGAAAACGGGAUUUUUAUCUCAAUUGACGGUACCAGAGGAAUAAGCACCGGCUAACUCCGUGCCAGCAGCCGCGGUAAUACGGAGGGUGCGAGCGUUAUCCGGAUUUACUGGGUUUAAAGGGUGCGUAGGUGGGCUUAUAAGUCAGUGGUGAAAUCUCCGAGCUUAACUUGGAAACUGCCGUUGAUACUAUAGGUCUUGAAUUAUCUGGAGGUAAGCGGAAUAUGUCAUGUAGCGGUGAAAUGCUUAGAUAUGACAUAAAACACCAAUUGCGAAGGCAGCUUACUACAUAUAAAUUGACGCUGAGGCACGAAAGCGUGGGGAUCAAACA